GUAGGAGGCAAGCAGGGAAAGAAGGGACUUUGGGCUAUGGAGGAGAAUAUAAAAGGCCGAAUCAGCGUAUUGUCAUCUCACAUCAUGGCUUCAGAGAAAGCGGCGGCUCUUACAGCUGUUCCCUCAGAUUCUCCCACCAUAUUUGACAAAAUUAUCAACAAGGAAAUCCCAUGUAAUGUUGUUUAUGAGGAUGAUAAGGUCCUAGCUUUUAAGGACAUAUCUCCUCAAGCUCCUACACACAUCUUAAUCAUUCCCAAAGUCAAGGAUGGCUUGACUGGACUGUCUAAGGUAUGUUCCAUAGCUGAUUUAAUUUUCAUAAUCGCUUCUAACAUUAACAACUCUAGCUUUUUGGAAAUUUUUCUAGAAAAUAGUUCCUUAGUUAAUCACUAUGCUUUUGCUUGCUUUUGAAAUUUGAGUGGAUUGACCUAUACCUAUUAAAACAAUCCUAAUACUGGACAGCAACACAUUGUCAGCUAUUUGAUAACUUUGUCAUGAAUCCAUCAAUGCUUUCACCAUAGCUAAAGCUUAAUUUAUUGUCAUAAACUCCUUAACUGUCAACUCUGUUAACAGUUAGUAUCUGUUCAGUCUAUUGGAUUCUUAGGUUGCUUUCUCUCAUAGCAGUUUUGAGUGCAAUCUACAUUUUCCCACUUGUAUGCUAAAAGACAGCCUCAUUGUAUCAAUUGUUCUGCUCCUUCAAAUCACUGAACCCAUGCAACCUCAAAAGGGGAAAAAAUGCAAACAUGCAGCCAUGGGACCCAAACACAAUCUUUGCCAUCAAACUAAAUUUGAGCCAUGAACACAAAGUGAGAGAGAUCGCUAAGGUUCAGAUUUGAACUACCAAGAAUAAGAACAAAAUUAAGUGAAGCUAAGGUUUUGGCUUUAAAGUUUAAAGAAUAUAAAUAGGGAAAAGAUAGCUGAAUAAGUCACAAAUUUGAAGAAGUAAAAGAAAGGAUUAAAAACCCCUAAUUGGAGCCAUUGUGGUGGAGAGCUGUAAAUGGAGGAGAGGAGGGAGUAGAAAUAAGAGUGUAGAUGCCUAUUUUUGCACCUUUGUAUUCAUGCUUGAUUGGAUUGCGUGGGUGAGCCUAAUGAUGAAAAUCUAAGUUUGGAAUGGCAUUAGCAUUGUUUUAGAAUGAUUUAGGAACAAUUUAAAAUGGCUCUAUUGAAUAAAAGUAAAAGUUAAGGGGCCAAAGUACAGUUUUGACUGUAAGGGGAAAAUGGUCAUUUUUAAGUGUAUGGUUCAGAAGUAUUUUUUGGAAUUUCCAUAAUGAAUCUUGAC
rnacentral:misc_RNA from 1 species